rnacentral:rRNA from 1 species
GAUGAACGCUGGCGGCGUGCCUAAUACAUGCAAGUCGAGCGAACAGACGAGGAGCUUGCUCCUCUGACGUUAGCGGCGGACGGGUGAGUAACACGUGGAUAACCUACCUAUAAGACUGGGAUAACUUCGGGAAACCGGAGCUAAUACCGGAUAAUAUAUUGAACCGCAUGGUUCAAUAGUGAAAGACGGUUUUGCUGUCACUUAUAGAUGGAUCCGCGCCGCAUUAGCUAGUUGGUAAGGUAACGGCUUACCAAGGCAACGAUGCGUAGCCGACCUGAGAGGGUGAUCGGCCACACUGGAACUGAGACACGGUCCAGACUCCUACGGGAGGCAGCAGUAGGGAAUCUUCCGCAAUGGGCGAAAGCUUGACGGAGCAACGCCGCGUGAGUGAUGAAGGUCUUCGGAUCGUAUAACUCUGUUAUUAGGGAAGAACAAAUGUGUAAGUAACUAUGCACGUCUUGACGGUACCUAAUCAGAAAGCCACGGCUAACUACGUG